GACGAACGCUGGCGGCGUGCCUAAUACAUGCAAGUAGAACGCUGAAGGAGGAGCUUGCUCUUCUGGAUGAGUUGCGAACGGGUGAGUAACGCGUAGGUAACCUGCCUGGUAGCGGGGGAUAACUAUUGGAAACGAUAGCUAAUACCGCAUAAGAGUAGAUGUUGCAUGACAUUUACUUAAAAGGUGCAAUUGCAUCACUACCAGAUGGACCUGCGUUGUAUUAGCUAGUUGGUGGGGUAACGGCUUACCAAGGCGACGAUACAUAGCCGACCUGAGAGGGUGAUCGGCCACACUGGGACUGAGACACGGCCCAGACUCCUACGGGAGGCAGCAGUAGGGAAUCUUCGGCAAUGGACGGAAGUCUGACCGAGCAACGCCGCGUGAGUGAAGAAGGUUUUCGGAUCGUAAAGCUCGGUUGUAAGAGAAGAACGAGUGUGAGAGUGGAAAGUUCACACUGUGACGGUAGCUUACCAGAAAGGGACGGCUAACUACGUG
rnacentral:rRNA from 1 species